GGCAAUGUGGCUCAGUGGUAGAGUGCUUGCCUUACAUGCAUAAAGCCCUAGGUUCGAUUCCUCAGUAUCA
rnacentral:tRNA from 1 species